UACGUAGGGGGCAAGCGUUGUCCGGAUUUACUGGGCGUAAAGGGCGCGCAGGCGGCUCAUUUUGUCAGGCGUGAAAGCCCCGGGCUUAACCUGGGAACUGCGUUUGAUACGGAUGGGCUAGAGUUCGGGAGAGGAGAGUGGAGUUCCCAGUGUAGAGGUGAAAUUCGUAGAUAUUGGGAAGAACACCGGUGGCGAAGGCGGCUCUCUGGACCGAGACUGACGCUGAGGCGCGAAAGCGUGGGGAGCAAACAGG
rnacentral:rRNA from 1 species